rnacentral:rRNA from 1 species
UAGAAGAAAGUAAUAAAGAGUACACGGGGGAUGCCUUGGCUCUCAGAGGCGAUGAAGGAC